GAGUUUGAUCAUGGCUCAGGAUGAACGCUGGCGGCGUGCUUAACACAUGCAAGUCGAACGAUGAUCCCAGCUUGCUGGGGGAUUAGUGGCGAACGGGUGAGUAACACGUGAGUAACCUGCCCUUGACUCUGGGAUAAGCCUGGGAAACUGGGUCUAAUACCGGAUAUGACCUUCCAUCGCAUGGUGGUUGGUGGAAAGCUUUUGUGGUUUUGGAUGGACUCGCGGCCUAUCAGCUUGUUGGUGAGGUAAUGGCUUACCAAGGCGACGACGGGUAGCCGGCCUGAGAGGGUGACCGGCCACACUGGGACUGAGACACGGCCCAGACUCCUACGGGAGGCAGCAGUGGGGAAUAUUGCACAAUGGGCGCAAGCCUGAUGCAGCGACGCCGCGUGAGGGAUGACGGCC
rnacentral:rRNA from 1 species